CUUCACUCUGGCUUGCUGAUAGUUUUAUCUUGCAGCAUUAUUCUGAACGUUGCUCUCAUUUGUAUAAGAUGUAAACUGACCUGUACACACUGUGCAGAUGAAAAGAACAGUGAUAUAUCAAAAGUGGAAUGGUCACGCAAGCAAUGCCAUGACGAGGACACACUGAAUUACGCUGCCCUGAACCUUAAGAAGCCAAAACCCAGGAGACAGAAGAAAGACGGGAAUAAUGACACUCUGUAUUCUGACCUCCGCUACAGAGAUUAUGAAUAAAGAUGCUUCUCAUUCAUGUCAGUCACACAGAGUGUUCAGGGUGUAGCUUUAAUAAUGUUCAGAGGAGGGCAGGGGAGCCAGUGCUUCUGAGACUGAAUCACGGGAUUUUACGGAGCACCGGUGCUGAGUUUGGUGUCAGUGUGUUUGGGGCGCAUUUUUACUGGAAGUGCAAAUGUUCAAGCCAGACUGGGGGCUGAGGGAGGGGGAGAGGGGAGCCACAGAGAUUAUUUCUUCAUGGCAUGGGGGGGAAUAAGCGGCUUUAAUGUUGUGG